AACAUCUCAGUUCAGAUUGCAGGCUGCAACUCGCCUGCAUGAAGUCGGAAUUGCUAGUAAUCGUAGGUCAGCAUACUACGGUGAAUACGUUCCCGGGCCUUGUACACACCGCCCGUCAAACCAUGAGAGUUGGCAACACCCGAAGUCGGUAGUCUAACCGCAAGGAGGACGCCGCCUAAGGUGGGAUUGAUGACUGGGGUGAAGUCGUAACAAGGUACC
rnacentral:rRNA from 1 species